AUUGAACGCUGGCGGCAGGCCUAACACAUGCAAGUCGAACGAGUGGCGGACGGGUGAGUAAUGUCUGGGAAACUGCCCGAUGGAGGGGGAUAACUACUGGAAACGGUAGCUAAUACCGCAUACCAUCGGAUGUGCCCAGAUGGGAUUAGCUAGUAGGUGGGGUAACGGCUCACCUAGGCGACGAUCCCUCGCUGGUCUGAGAGGAUGACCAGCCACACUGGAACUGAGACCCGGUCCAGCCUCCAACGGGAGACGGCCUAGGCGAAUAUGGCACAAAGGGGGCAGGCCUAAUGCAGCCAUGCCGCAUGGAUGAAGAAGGCCUUCGGGUUGUAAAGUGCUGUCAGCGAGGAGGCGUUACUCGCAGAAGAAGCACCGGCUAACUCCGUGCCAGCCGCCGCGGUAAUAC
rnacentral:rRNA from 1 species